UGCCCAGGGAGGAGAAAAACACUCCCGAACCCUUACGGUAACAUUCCAACUCCCGUAACUUCUCCGUCUGAGCUCCGAUUGCCGCACCGUUUGCGGCCACGCGUCCACCGCAUCGAGCUCUACAUUUUUACCGGAACAAUUUUAUUGGAUCCAAUUAGCUUGAGAGAAACGUUCACUCUUGCUUAUGUGAAGCUUGGGUAAGGUUGUGAAUAAAUAAUUGGAGAUUGAAAUUGUGAAUACUGGAACUUGGAGGAAGCGGAUUAGUUAAGUUUUGAGGGGCUGUCUUGGUUUUGAAUAAAUAGCUUUGGUCGUUACGUGGAAAUUGGCUAAG